GAUGAACGCUGGCGGCGUGCCUAAUACAUGCAAGUCGAACGCACAGCGAAAGGUGCUUGCACCUUUCAAGUGAGUGGCGAACGGGUGAGUAACACGUGGACAACCUGCCUCAAGGCUGGGGAUAACAUUUGGAAACAGAUGCUAAUACCGAAUAAAACUCAGUGUCGCAUGACACAAAGUUAAAAGGCGCUUUGGCGUCACCUAGAGAUGGAUCCGCGGUGCAUUAGUUAGUUGGUGGGGUAAAGGCCUACCAAGACAAUGAUGCAUAGCCGAGUUGAGAGACUGAUCGGCCACAUUGGGACUGAGACACGGCCCAAACUCCUACGGGAGGCUGCAGUAGGGAAUCUUCCACAAUGGGCGAAAGCCUGAUGGAGCAACGCCGCGUGUGUGAUGAAGGCUUUCGGGUCGUAAAGCACUGUUGUAUGGGAAGAACAGCUAGAAUAGGGAAUGAUUUUAGUUUGACGGUACCAUACCAGAAAGGGACGGCUAAAUACGUGCCAGCAGCCGCCGUAA
rnacentral:rRNA from 1 species